GGGUGUGUGUUGAGCGCGGUGGAACCACCCUGAUCCAUCUCGAACCAGGAGGUGAAACGCCGCAGCGCCGAUAGUACUGGUGAAGCCUCACUGGGAGGGUAGGUCCAUGCACCCG
rnacentral:rRNA from 1 species